rnacentral:rRNA from 1 species
ACUUUACAAUGCGGGAAACCGUGAUAAGGGGACACCGAGUGCUAGCAUCAUAUGCUGGCUGUCCAGGUGUGUAAAAUACACCUGUUAGCAAGGGCCGGGCAAGACCGGUGCCAGCCGCCGCGGUAACACCGGCGGCGCGAGUGGUGAUCGUGAUUAUUGGGUCUAAAGGGUCCGUAGCAGGUUUGGUCAGUCCUCCGGGAAAUCUGAUAGCUCAACUGUUAGGCUUUCGGGGGAUACGGCCAGAAUUGGAAUCGGGAGAGGUAAGAGGAACUGCAGGGUAGGGGGGAAAAUCUUAUAGAUCCUGUGGAACAACCAGUGGCAAGGGCGUCUUACAAGAACGUAUUGAACGUUGAGGGACAAAGGGUGGGGACACAA